GUAGACAAUCAAACGUGGUAGAAUAUUUUACAUAAAUAAGGCUAUAUGAUAAGACAGAGUCCAUAUAUUGCACAGGUCCGCUACUAAUUAGAAGGAUAGAUAGCACCCGUGCUGUCAUGAUAUACCUUCCUCCUCCCAACUCCACCCGACACCUACUGUAUUCCACCUGUUUGAAUCGAACUUGAAUGCCGCCGUCCCGAACCAUCUCCUAUACCACACACCCACAAACCAUGUAUCGUCGAUGGGACAUGUGUCCGCGGAAUGGCUGGCUAAAAUCCAGGAAGUGCAGUUCCAGAAGCCGAAACGCACAAAGCGGGGCUGCCCGACUGUCCCAUGCGGGACUAAAUGGAGCUAUUGGCACUGUUUCUUUCGUUUGAUGGAUAUGGACAUGAAGAAUUCAUGUGUGCUUUUCCCCCCACGUUUUCUUUGACCCAUUGUAACGAAAACCUAUUUCGUAUGAAAUGCAGGGGUUUGAGCCAGCACAUGAUUGGUAGGCUACAUUGUAAAAUACGAGCUAUAAUUUCAAUCAAAUUUGAAUUUAUAUUUUAUAUUUUCACUACCCAGAUUGUCAUAACUGGAUAACCUAUUGUAUUGGUAUAAUAAUAAUAAAAAAUACUAUGUAUAACGGAAUUAAGUAAACCUAUGAAUUAAUUUAUUAAUAAUAAUUAUAAUUAUUGUUAUUAUUGUAGGCAUAGUCCUCACAUAUUUGAUGUU